UUAUAGCUGUUGCCAGUGCGUGUUUAUUGUGACAGAAGAUGAAAAACACAGCUGACUCAUUCAAUAGAAAACUAAGCUCAACAAGACAGAACUGCACAUGAAAAAAUGAUAUACUAAUGACAGUUUAUAAUAUGCUGACAAAUUAAAGAUAAAAAAAACAACAUACCGGGUUGCUAGUGUAGUUUCACUGUGCUUUGCCAUUCUACAUUCUAUGCUAUAUUAAGUCUUUGGGGAACAUGGAUUACCCUUUUUUUUCAACAGAUAUUUCCAACUUGGGCAUAGCGAGCUCAGUCUAACCUUAUGGACCAAAAUUGUUGAAUGACCUCUCUGCCCAUGGUAGGACGGCUUCCUCACUGCCUGUUUUGAAAUAUGUCUUAAAAUUAGAUCAAAGUGUUCUUACCUUCUAUUUAUUUAUUUUAGUGUUUUAUUGAUUAGCUUUGUGUUGUUUUCUAAAUGGCUUGGGAAAAAAGCAGCUGAACUUAUUUAAGCUAUGUGACACCCUUUUACCUCUCAUCAGCACUUUGUCAAACUGUGUCAACUUUGUCAAGCUUUAAUGACACUUUGUUUCUUGUGGAUGCGGUAUUGUCAUCAUAAAAGACACCACUCCAAUGAUGAUAGAAAUGUUUUAUCGCAGGUUACAGAAACCCAGACUUUACCAUUAAAAUGUUCCCCACAUUCGGACACUCUCAUUACACAGGUUAACAUUUUUCCUUUAAUUUGUCACCCGUCCGCGUAUACUUCAUCCAGUAAGCACACAAAGACAGUCCCUGUAUUAAAAGCUGACAGCAUUCUGUAAAGUUUAUGAGGCAGUAGCACCAGUGAGGAGAGUUACUUUGUGCUCCCUGUGUCUUUAAAUCCCUUUGCCUUUCACAUAGGCCAGCCACUCACAAUAACCCACUCAAAUCAAAUCAAAAAUCCCCAAGGAGUAUGCUCUGGGAUGGGGGAGUGCCCCAUCUCUUUUUUUCGGGGAUGGCUACCGGCUGAGUGUAAUAAAGGCCUUUGUUAUGCUGCCCUGCUGCAAAUCUGUGUUGUUAAAGCUCGCAUGGCAAAGAGCAAGUGGCCAAAAUUGAAUGUCACAGAAAUGUUUAAUCGGUCACACUGAUUAAUUACUGACUACGGCAGCAUUCAAGCCAAAGAACAAGACUGAAAUGUAAAAAUGAUCACAUGAGGCUAUUCACUUUGUUUUCGUCAAAGUGAUCCGAGAUAUGUUUUAAGCCUGACUCUGUCUUACCUGGAGCAGGACAAUAAAGAUAAGGAUGGAAAUGUCUUGAGUUUUGGUUUUAUAGAGCUUGUGUGCAGGUAGACACACAGGUUUAACAGGUGCACAGCUGCUUGGAUACUGCAUACAAUGUCCUAACAACAGUACAUUUAAAGUGACAGCAGAGUGAGUGCAGAUUGUUUUAGUCUUAAAGUGCACCGUUGGGAAGUAAGCCUUUUAAGUUAGUAACAGUUAAUGAGUUGCUGUCUUGCCGUAUUUUUUUAAGAAAGAAAGAAUCUAUCAGCCCACUUACGUCUUUUACUCCAGUUUCUGAUUUUGAAGUUAAGUUGUCCUUCUUCACAAAAUCGGGCCACUUUCACUGGUAGUAAUACAGCAGUCCUUCAGGCUCUGGACUUCCAUAGCAUUAGGCACUAGUGUAAAUCUGUUAUAGUCCCAGUGGUCUGGUUUAAGGCAGGGAAGACUCCAACAACUUCACUGUGUGGGUAAGAACCCACCACUAGAUCAAGCAUGGUGCCUUUUCAAAUGACUACUACUGGUGUGGGACUAGUAAACUGUGGAAAGCCUGGAAUGGAUUUCGGAGUGGACCGUGUUUCAUAAUUUACUCAGAUUUUGAUUUACAUAAGUUAAAACUAAAAAGACACAAUGGGCUUUUUAUAUACUUCAACCUUUAAAGGCAUAAGCCUCCGUAAGCUGGCGUCUUUACUAAUGCUUUCUCUGUUUCUAUUUUUCUUUAUCUGCACAAAAUGUUAACUGUAGUAUACUGGACACUGUAACAGUCAUCAACGUUUCUGGUAAUGUAUAAGAAACAGGCUCCUCUAAAUCAAGGCUCCCUGGUUACCUGGAAACUAAUUUUGAACUAUUUACUAUAUGUCAGUACUGCUCAGCUAUCUCCAAAAAUAUAAAAUUGCCAUUAUUUAAUUGAGAUACAAGAAGAAGUUACACCAACAGCUACCUAAAACAUUUGAACUUCCUGAUUAAACAGCACACUCUCUCUGUGAUCACUUGCUUUAGAAACGUUGCCCUCCUCCUGCUGUCUGUCACAGCCGUGGUUUCCCUCCCACUCCUCCCUCAGUGACAGUUUGUGUAGCAGCAACAGCCAUCAGCCUGAAAUGCACCUUACAAUUUAAACCAGCCCACCAAUCACCAGCCUCUUAGGCAGUAACAGUGGCUAGUAACAUUUGCACAACAAAAGAGAAAUCUGAUUCAUC
ensembl:lncRNA